UUUUUCCAUUAGAUAUAUGUAGUGUAUGAAAUUGUGAAAUUCUGUGUUAUUGAUAGUGGUUGAUGGAAUGGUGAGGGUGAUGAAAAAAAUCAUUCGGAUUCCCAAUGAUUCCCUUACGUACGGGAAAUUAUGUGAUUAUUUACCAGCUACUUUUGACUCAUCAUCCAUCAUUAUGUUUU
rnacentral:sRNA from 1 species